rnacentral:rRNA from 1 species
GAUGAACGCUAGCUACAGGCUUAACACAUGCAAGUCGAGGGGCAGCAUGGUCUUAGCUUGCUAAGGCCGAUGGCGACCGGCGCACGGGUGAGUAACACGUAUCCAACCUGCCGUCUACUCUUGGACAGCCUUCUGAAAGGAAGAUUAAUACAAGAUGGCAUCAUGAGUCCGCAUGUUCACAUGAUUAAAGGUAUUCCGGUAGACGAUGGGGAUGCGUUCCAUUAGAUAGUAGGCGGGGUAACGGCCCACCUAGUCUUCGAUGGAUAGGGGUUCUGAGAGGAAGGUCCCGCACAUUGGAACUGAGACACGGUCCAAACUCCUACGGGAGGCAGCAGUGAGGAAUAUUGGUCAAUGGGCGCAGGCCUGAACCAGCCAAGUAGCGUGAAGGAUGACUGCCCUAUGGGUUGUAAACUUCUUUUAUAAAGGAAUAAAGUCGGGUAUGUAUACCCGUUUGCAUGUACUUUAUGAAUAAGGAUCGGCUAACUCCGUG